rnacentral:rRNA from 1 species
UACGUAGGGGGGCUAGCGUUGUCCGGAAUCAUUGGGCGUAAAGCGCGUGUAGGCGGUCCGGUAAGUCCGCUGUGAAAGUCGGGGGCUCAACCCUCGAAUGCCGGUGGAUACUGUCGGGCUAGAGUACGGAAGAGGCGAGUGGAAUUCCUGGUGUAGCGGUGAGAUGCGCAGAUAUCAGGAGGAACACCAAUUGCGAAGGCAGCUCGCUGGGACGUUACUGACGCUGAGACGCGAAAGCGUGGGGAGCAAACAGG